GACAUACUCCCUCCGUCCGAAAAUACUUGUCGAAGAGAUGAAUGUAUGUAGACAUAUUUUAGUUCUACAUACAUCCAUUUUUAACCAUUUCUCCAACAAGUAUUUUUGAACGGAGGGGGUACGUC
rfam:Triticum aestivum genome assembly, contig: Triticum_aestivum_CS42_TGACv1_scaffold_050093_1BS